rnacentral:rRNA from 1 species
GACAGAGGGUGCAAACGUUGUUCGGAAUUACUGGGCGUAAAGGGCGCGUAGGCGGCCCGAUAAGUCCCGCGUGAAAGCCCCCGGCUCAACUGGGGAACUGCGCGGGAAACUAUCGGGCUUGAGUUCGGGAGAGGGAAGCGGAAUUCCGGGUGUAGCGGUGAAAUGCGUAGAUAUCCGGAGGAACACCGGUGGCGAAGGCGGCUUCCUGGACCGACACUGACGCUGAGGCGCGAAAGCUAGGGGAGCAAACGGG